rnacentral:rRNA from 1 species
CCUACGGGUGGCAGCAGUGGGGGAUAUUGCACAAUGGGGGAAACCCUGAUGCAGCGACGCCGCGUGUGGGAAGACGGUCUUCUGGAUUGUAAACCACUGUCCCCAGGGACGAAAUGACGGUACCUGGGGCGGAAGCUCCGGCUAACUACGUGCCAGCAGCCGCGGUAAUACGUCGGGAGCAAGCGUUGUCCGGAAUUACUGGGUGUAAAGGGAGCGUAGGCGGGGAUGCAAGUUGGGGGUCAACACUACCGGUUCAACCGAUAGUCGCACUUGAAACUGCAGCUCUUGAGUGAAGUAGAGGCAGGCGGAAUUCCUAGUGUAGCGGUGAAAUGCGUAGAUAUUAGGAGGAACACCAGUGGCGAAGGCGGCCUGCUGGGCUUUUACUGACGCUGAGGCUCGAAAGUGUGGGGAGCAAACAGGAUUAGAUACCCCAGUAGUC